GCCAUGAUCUUCAUUACUAAUACUCAUAAUCGGUCUUUAGAUUCAGUGACUGCUUGAGGUGCAAAGGUCCUUAGCAGUCAUUUAACUGAGCGCCUGGUGUUAGUCAUGAAGCACUGGAUCUGGGA